UAGGUUAGGAGGAAUCAUUAAAAUCAGAUGAAUUAUCAAUCAUCAAGGGACCAUUGCAUUGUAUCUUUUACAUCUUAUCAUUUAUUAUUAUUAAGUUAUACACUUGACCAUUGCACUGAGAAAGGAGCAUCAAACUGGGUUUCACCUCUCCCCUUAACCUCUCUGGAUUUUCACUUCCACUAGCCUGCUUUUGGAGAUGCCAUUCUCCUUCAGUGAAGAUGGAAUAUUCCUGACGCUCCAUCUGACUGUAUGUGUGGUCAGCCUUUCUGCCUGGACUAUGCUUUAUCAUGCCCUGCAUGUGGUUUACAUCUAUCUGCCAAAAUGAGGUAGAACCCCAUCUGCAACCACUCAUAGAUGAACACUUCCCCCUUCAGAUGGUUAAUUGUGAUCAAAACACUGGUCUUGAUGUAAUAUCUAAUGGCGUGUGGAGAGGAAGGUUUGAGAGAACAUUUUUUUGAU